rnacentral:misc_RNA from 1 species
AAUCCAAUCAAGCCUGGCUUGGUAUUGGGCGUCGGGGUCCCCCGCGCCUCAAUUUCACCGGCUGGCCGUCGCCCGUCUUAGCGUUGUGAUACACUUCUCGCUAGCGAUGGGACCGGACCACGCCGUUAAAACUCACGAAUUUCAAUCGAAAUUCGAUUA